AGAUAUUAGCCUAUGAGUUUGAAGGGAAAAAUAGUUAUUUUGCUUCUAGACUGAGUGGCUGCCCGUAUUAUUUCUGGGUGCCUUAAUAAGUUUUUGUCAGCCUUAUCUACGGAUCAAGAGGAUAAACUCUCAUUUCUUAUUCUUCUUUCUCUUUCUUUUCUUCGUUCUUCUUCUCGUUUCUUUCUUUUGAUUCCUGCUUUUCAUUUUCUCUUCUAUCGAUCUCAAUCUCAGAGAUUUGAGGCCUUUUACGUAAGAGUUUCAUAGAAAGCUCGUUAGCUUCUCUGUUUGGAGCCGAAAAUGGUGGUACUAUGGUUGAUUGAGCACAUGAGGAUGAUGUUGUUGCUGUUAAUCGAAGUUAGGGUUUAUAGUUGAUAUGGUUUGAAGAAUUAGAAGACGAAGAAUAGGGCUGCGGGUAGAUGAAGAAGCAAGGGUUAAGUUUUAAUUUCAGUACUGAUGUUGUUUUGGAGAUGAUCAAAGAAUUAGUGUUUUCUGUAGUUUGAAUUGAGUGACGAUUAAGAAGAAUUAGACAAAAUUAUUAGAUGGGUGUGGUGUUUUAAGAAGUAAAUCGAAGUGUAGAGAUAAAAUUGAGUGAGAAAUGAUUUGAAGUUGAAACUGGUGAAGAACCAAGUUUGAUUCUUGUAUUAACAAAGUGUAGGAGUGAUUAUUGGUGUUGACUCAAAUUCAGAGAUCUGUGAAAGAGGAAAUUAGGUUUUUGGAUCUGGAGUUGGAGAUGGAAGCAGUAAAUAAGUUGUGAUUGAAGUGUUGUUUGAAUUGAGAUAGGAUGUUAGCAGUUAAGUGUGUUGUAUCGAUAAUUCUAUUGGAAGUGGUGAGCUGUGUUGCAGACAUGUGUGUUGUCUUGAAUGCAUCUGAAGUUGUUAGUGGAAACUAAAUAGUUGAGGGAGCUGUUGUGGGUAUAGUUGGUGGUAUCUCUGAUGAGUUUGAGAAGAUGGAUUGGUCGUAUCUAUUGGGAAUUGAAUGUGGAGAUAAGAGUGUGGAAGAGAUGUCAAAAGUGUAAAUAGACCUGAAGUUGCAACUGCAGAACAAAGGUAGAUAUGGUGAUGUAGAGUUGAUAGUGAAGUCUGUGAAUCUAUAAUUGUGUGUUGAGUUGGGAGAUUAGAAAAUAUGUGGUAGUGGUGAUUCUAGAAUCAUAGUUGGUAGCCUCGUUGAAAGUUGCUGCUACUACAAUUGCAGGUAAGCUUAUCCUAUGUAAUGAAUUAUGAAGUUGUUUAGUUUGAA